rnacentral:misc_RNA from 1 species
GCUGGAAUGGGGUGAGAAACUCAGAAACCAUAUUAGGAUAUACAUCAUAUGGGCGGAAAUAAAGCAUAAAAUUGCAUUUCCUCUAUGAUUGAUCUCAGGUUCAGUUCCUUAUUGUUGUAGUUUUUGAGGCAAAGACAUUAUGCUGCAUCCAAGCAUUUAAAAGGUCAAGGUUUCAGCCAGUUUAUGUGCUACUGCUGUAUUUUAG